ACUUUAGAAAAAUAUCCAUACACCGCAUGUGGUUUUUAAAAGAAAAAUAAAAAAUAAACGGUGACGGGGAACCCAUUUCCGGUCGUACCGCGCCACUUUUCAAAACGGGCAUUAUUUGUUUUGGAGGCUGUGCGCUUACUGUAAAUAUGCCAGUUAAGAGGGCCCUGCGUUUGGAAGAAAAGGAAAAUAUAACUCCAUCCAAGAGACCAGCACUUGACUGGGCCUAUUCCCCAUCCACAGGCACCUGCUCCAUUCACCACAUACAUUCUUCUUCAGCUAAUUUAAAUUUGAGGGAAAAUGCUGGCAGUCCUACGCUACGGGAACUUCAGACAGAUAAAGAAAAUAAAAUCUAAAGUGCUGAAAAGGAAGUCUGUACCGAUACUUCAGGGUGGAGAUAAGCUUCUUUAUUAAUUUCAUGCCUUGCGGUCUAAAAUUGAAGCGUCAGUAAAUGCAUUUUUAAAGGCCAGGCAGCAGAUUGAAAAAACGUUGUCGACGGAGGGCGGCAGUGAGCUGAGCGGGUUCUUCAGAGGAGGCUCUUCCGACCUGCAGGCCGAACUGCGCAAAAACAGGGAGCUCUGUGCCCUGGUGGAAGCUCGCCUCGAUGGGAUUGACUUCAACCGCCACCGCAGAGACGGUCCCGGAAGGCCGUCAAGCUCCUACGAAUUCCUAAAAUCAAUCCUGAACUGAGGAGUAAUUCUGCGUCCUCUGAUCAGCUUUGUGACCCACGAGGGAGGAGGGUCCGAUGGCUUCUCCCGGUCCAUCCAGCUGGCCACCGCGCUUCUUCUGCAGAAGCCACCAGGCCCUUAUCCGGAAACAGCUCUGCAGCACUCAGCAGCACCCCCAGCAAUGCUCAGGAUCCUCUGGGCUCCCGGCAAUGUCACCCCCCCCCCCCCCAACCCCGAUUCCACCAUUUCUAGUCGAAAUAGAUUUUUUUUUUUAAUGCCCAUCAUUAACUUCCAGAAAGAAGCAUAAGAUUGGUGUGGUAUUUCAGUUUUAUGACAUCGUGUCCGCCGCUCUCCUGCUAGCACGCACCCUCUGCGUGGGAUGCUUCUGUAUUUACCGCUCGUAAUGAAUAUUUUAUGAUAAUAAAUGGCUUUAAGAUAUUAA